CAAAUAGAGUGUAUCGGUCGCAUCAGUUUAUGAUGAGGAAAGUCCGGACUCCACAGGGUAAAGUGUCCUUUGGAAACAAAGGAGGUUACGAGCCAUAUCUCGUAAAACGGAAAGUGCUACAGAAAAUAAACCGCCAUUUAUAUGGUAAGGGUGAAAAGGUGAGGUAAAAGCUCAUCAUUUUUAUUGGUAACAAUAAAAAUUUAGUAAACCCCACUUGGAGCAAGAUCAAAUAGGAAGUUUUGAUGACCCGUCUAAUAACUUCGGGUAGAUCGCAUAGAUAAAUGACCGACCUUUUUUNAAAAGGAACAGAAUCCGGCUUACCGCUCUAUUUGUAUU
rnacentral:RNase_P_RNA from 1 species